rnacentral:rRNA from 1 species
UACGUAGGGUGCGAGCGUUGUCCGGAAUUAUUGGGCGUAAAGAGCUCGUAGGCGGUGUGUCGCGUCGGCCGUGAAAACCUGGGGCUCAACUCUGGGCGUGCGGUCGAUACGGGCAUCACUUGAGUUCGGCAGGGGAGACUGGAAUUCCUGGUGUAGCGGUGAAAUGCGCAGAUAUCAGGGGGAACACCGGUGGCGAAGGCGGGUCUCUGGGCCGAUACUGACGCUGAGGAGCGAAAGCAUGGGUAGCGAACAGG